GACGGUAUAGCUCAGUGGUAGAGUGCUUGCUUAGCGUGCACGAGGUCCUGAGUUCAUUCCCUAGUAUUGCCA
rnacentral:tRNA from 1 species